GUGGCUGUAGCUCAGCUGGUAGAGCCCUGGAUUGUGAUUCCAGUUGUCGUGGGUUCGAGCCCCAUCAGCCACCCCA
rnacentral:tRNA from 9 species